GACGAACGCUGGCGGCGUGCUUAACACAUGCAAGUCGAACGGAAAGGCCCUGCGUUUGUGGGGUGCUCGAGUGGCGAACGGGUGAGUAACACGUGAGUAACCUGCCCUUGACCUUGGGAUAACUUCAGGAAACUGGGGCUAAUACCGGAUAGGAUCUCCUGCUGCAUGGUGGGGGUUGGAAAGUUUCGGCGGUUGGGGAUGGACUCGCGGCUUAUGAGCUUGUUGGUGGGGUAGUUGCUUACCCAGGGUGUGACGGGUCGCCGGCCUGGGAGGGUGACCGGCGACAAUACGACUGAGAGAGGCCGCAGACGCGAACGGGGGGCAGCGGGGGGAAACCUGACCCAGCGGGAGCGCGUCGGUUGAGGAAGCCUCCCGGGCGGAAAGACGUCUUGUGGGUAAAAAAACGCUUCCGCCUAAGACGCAGCGGGACUGACGGUAAUGAAAAAAGAAGCACCGGCUAACUACGUG
rnacentral:rRNA from 1 species